UACAGAGGGUGCAAGCGUUGUUCGGAAUUAUUGGGCGUAAGGCGCGUGUAGGCGGCUUAGCAAGUCGGGCGUGAAAGCCCUCGGCUCAACCGAGGAAGUGCACCCGAAACUGCUGAGCUUGAGUGCCGGAGAGGAUGGCGGAAUACCCCAAGUAGAGGUGAAAUUCGUAGAUAUGGGGUGGAACACCGGUGGCGAAGGCGGCCAUCUGGACGGUAACUGACGCUGAGACGCGAAAGCGUGGGGAGCAAACAGG
rnacentral:rRNA from 1 species